rnacentral:rRNA from 1 species
GUUUAGAAAGUACAUUGUUAAAUUUUAAGGCUUAACCUUAGCAAAGCAAGGUAAACUUUUAAACUAGAGUUUGGUAGAGGCAGAGGGAAUUUCCGGUGGAGCGGUGAAAUGCGGAGAGAUCGGGAGGAACACCAAAGGCGAAAGCACUUUGCUGGGCCAUUACUGACACUAAGAGACGAAAGCAAGGGGAGCAAAUGGGAUUAGAUACCCCAGUAGUCCUUGCCGUAAACGAUGGAUACUAAAUGUUGGAGAAAUUCAGUAUUGUAGCUAACGCGUUAAGUAUCCCGCCUGGGGAGUACGCUCGCAAGAGUGAAACUCAAAGGAAUUGACGGGAACCCGCACAAUUGGUGGGGCACGUGGUUUAAUUCGAUGCAACGCGAAGAACCUUACCAGGAUUUGACAUGUCAUUUGUUUCUGUAGCUUAAAAUUUUAAUUUAUUUUAAGUAGAAACUUUAAAAAAAUGAACACAGGUGGUGCAUGGCUGUCGUCAGCUCGUGUCGUAUGAUGUUGGGUUAAGUCCCGUAACGAGCGCAACCCUUGUUCUGUGUUGCUUAGGG